CGCGUAGGCGGGAUGGCAAGUCGGUCGUGAAAUCCCUCGGCUCAACUGAGGAACGUCGAUCGAUACUGCUGUUCUUGAGGAUUGCAGAGGGGACUGGAAUUCCCGGUGUAGCGGUGAAAUGUGUAGAGAUCGGGAGGAACACCGGUGGCGAAGGCGGGUCUCUGGGCAAUUCCUGACGCUGAGGCGCGAAAGCGUGGGAGCAAACG
rnacentral:rRNA from 1 species